rnacentral:rRNA from 1 species
AAACGUAGGUGGCGAACGUUAUCCGGAUUUACAGGGCGUAAAGCGCUCGCAGGCGGCUUCGUAAGUCUGACGUGAAAGCUCCCGGCUUAACUGGGAGAGGCCGUUGGAUACUGCGGAGCUUGAGGGCAGGAGAGGAGAGUGGAAUUCCCGGUGUAGCGGUGGAAUGCGUAGAUAUCGGGAGGAACUCCAGUGGCGAAGGCGACUCUCUGGCCUGACCCUGACGCUCAGGAGCGAAAGCGUGGGGAGCGAACAGGAUUAGAUACCCUAGUAGUCC